CAGUCGCCGCGGGAAUACGGAGGGAGCUAGCGUUGUUCGGAAUUACUGGGCGUAAAGCGCACGCAGGCGGUUUGUUAAGUCAGAUGUGAAAUCCCCGAGCUUAACUUGGGAACUGCAUUUGAAACUGGCAAGCUAGAGUCUUGUAGAGGGAGGUAGAAUUCCAGGUGUAGCGGUGAAAUGCGUAGAGACCUGGAGGAAUACCGGUGGCGAAGGCGGCCCCCUGGACAAAGACUGACGCUCAGGUGCGAAAGCGUGGGGAGCAAACAGGAUUAGAGACCCCUGUAGUCCCUGUCUCUUAUAC
rnacentral:rRNA from 1 species